UACGUAGGGGCAAGCGUUGUCCGGAUUCAUUGGGCGUAAAGAGCUCGUAGGCGGCUUGGCAAGUCGGGUGUGAAACUCCAGGCUCAACCUGGAGACGCCACCCGAUACUGCCAUGGCUAGAGUCCGGUAGGGGACCACGGAAUUCCCGGUGUGAGCGGUGAAAUGCGCAGAUAGUCAGGAAGAACACCCGUGGCGAAGGCGGCUUCUGGGACGGUACUGACGCUGGAGACGCGAAAGCGUGGGGAGCGAACAGG
rnacentral:rRNA from 1 species